rnacentral:rRNA from 1 species
ACUCAAAUGAAUUGACGGGGAAGCGCACAAGCAGUGGAGCGUGUGGUUUAAUUCGAGACGAAACGAAAGACCUCACCUGGGUUUGACAUGUCUCUGCAAGACCACAGAAAUGCGGUACCUUCGAGGGUGAGACAAAGCUGCUGCAUGGCUGUCGUCAGCUCGUGCCGUGGGGUGUUGGCUUAAGUGCCAAAACGAGCGCAACCCCCAUCCAAUGUUAUUUUUUCAUUGGAAACUGCCUUGGCUUUUGUCAGGGAGGAAGGAGGGGACGACGUCAAGUCAGCACGGCGCUUAUGCCCAGGGCCACACACACACUACAAUGGCGAAAAACAAUGAGUUGCUAAACGGCAACGUUAAGCUAAUCUCUGAAAUUUCGCCUCAGUUCAGAUUGGGGUCUGCAACCCGACCCCAUGAAGUCGGAAUUGCUAGUAAUCGCGCAUCAGCAUGGCGCGGUGAAUACGUUCUCGCUUCUUGUACACACCGCCCGU